AUUGAACGCUGGCGGCAUGCCUUACACAUGCAAGUCGAGCGGCAGCGCGGGGGCAACCCUGGCGGCGAGCGGCGAACGGGUGAGUAAUACAUCGGAACGUGUCCUUUCGUGGGGGAUAAC
rnacentral:rRNA from 1 species